rnacentral:rRNA from 1 species
UACGGGGGGGGUAAGCGUUGUUCGGAAUUAUUGGGCGUAAAGGGCGCGUAGGCGGCUGUACAAGUCAAAGGUGAAAUCCCUCGGCUCAACUGAGGAACUGCCUUUGAAACUGUACGGCUUGAGGCCGGGAGGGGGUAGCGGAAUUCCCAAUGUAGCGGUGAAAUGCGUAGAUAUUGGGAGGAACACCAGUGGCGAAGGCGGCUACCUGGACCGGUUCUGACGCUGAGGCGCGAAAGCGUGGGUAGCAAACAGG